UACGAAGGGGGCAAGCGUUGUUCGGAAUUACUGGGCGUAAAGCGCGCGCAGGCGGCUAUCCAAGUCAGUGGUGAAAGCCCGGAGCUCAACUCCGGAACUGCCAUUGAAACUGUUUAGCUUGAGGAUGAGAGAGGUGAGUGGAACUGCGAGUGUAGAGGUGAAAUUCGUAGAUAUUCGCAAGAACACCAGUGGCGAAGGCGGCUCACUGGCCCGAUACUGACGCUGAGGUGCGAAAGCGUGGGGAGCAAACAGG
rnacentral:rRNA from 1 species